rnacentral:pre_miRNA from 1 species
CAAAUUUGGUGUACCGAAUAGGUGCUCCGAAUCAUCUAGGCCUUUAGCUUUUGUUUUACAAGCUACAGAUUUAGAUGAUUCAGAGCAUCUGUUCAGUGCUCCAAAGUUG